UUGAAGAAGGAGAGGUGAGAAGAAGGAGGAGAGUGAAGGAAGAGAGUGGAAGAAAGGAGAAGCGAACAACUCGUCGUCGUCGCCAUUUAGUUUCUUCUUCUUCUUCUG
rnacentral:sRNA from 1 species